CCUACGGGAGGCAGCAGUGAGGAAUAUUGGUCAAUGGUCGGGAGACUGAACCAGCCAAGCCGCGUGAGGGAUGAAGGUACAGAGUAUCGUAAACCUCUUUUGUCAGGGAACAAAGGCGGGGACGUGUCCCCGGAUGAGUGUACCUGAAGAAAAAGCAUCGGCUAACUCGGUGCCAGUAGCCGCGGUAAUACGGAGGAUGCGAGUGUUAUCGGGAUUUAUUGGGUUUAAGGGGUGCGCAGGUGGUCUGUUAAGUCAGCGGGCAAAGCCCGGGGCUCAACCCCGGCCCGCCGUUGAAACUGGCAGUCUCGAGUUGGAGAGAAGUAUGCGGAAUGCGCGGUGUAGCGGUGAAAUGCAUAGAUAUCGCGCAGAACUCCGGUGGCGAAGGCAGCAUGCCGGCUCCACACUGACGCUGAGGCACGAAAGCGUGGGUAUCGAACAGGAUUAGAUACCCGUGUAGUC
rnacentral:rRNA from 1 species